UACGGGGGGGGUAAGCGUUGUUCGGAAUUACUGGGCGUAAAGCGCGCGUAGGCGGCUUUGCAAGUCGGGUGUGAAAUCCCCAGGCUUAACCUGGGAACUGCAUUCGAGACUGCAUUGCUAGAGUAUGGGAGAGGGAAGUGGAAUUUCCGGUGUAGCGGUGAAAUGCGUAGAUAUCGGAAGGAACAUCAGUGGCGAAAGCGACUUCCUGGACCAAUACUGACGCUCAUGUGCGAAAGCGUGGGGAGCAAACAGG
rnacentral:rRNA from 1 species